rnacentral:lncRNA from 1 species
CCUAAUAGAUGUCGGUGUAACACUACAACCCUCCGACAUUCGCCGCCGGCCGGAAAUCGCCUCCACCGGUGGCGAUGCUUUGAUGGCCCCCAAAAUUACACCACCCCAUCUCCUUGACCUCGUCUUUCCAUUUCUGUAACUGGCAUCCCUCGAAUAUUGGCCAGCGUCGUCGAAUGUUCCUUUGAAUUGACGACUACUCCGCCACCCACGGCGGCUCUGGUGUCAAUCUCCUCCAAACUAUCACCCUAUAUUCUCCUAACCUCUCUCAUCCUAAAUCUGUAAGUCAUAACCCUCGAAUGUUAGCUAUGCUCCUCGAAUUUCAAUUUUAAAACCAUGUCAAAAUCCCACCAUCUUCCAAACCCUUCAAAAAUUGUACUCUAUGGUCUCAUCAUCACCUUCAUCUCGAUUUCCAAACAAAAACCCAUCAAAUACAAGUGAAAUCCCAUAAUUUUUAGAUCUAGGGUUUGUGUUAGGAGAAGUCCGCCUUGCCGAGAUUUUCAUGUGUUCGAUUGAUAUUCAAGUUAUAUAUGUGUUCAUUUUGGCAAAAUGAAAAUAUAAUAUUAGCUGGAGAUCAACCCCAAAGUCAAUUCAAGUUGCGACUAAAUCG